rnacentral:rRNA from 1 species
AGUGAACGCUGGCGGCGUGCCUAAUACAUGCAAGUCGAACGGAGUGGCGCACGGGUGAGUAAUGUAUAGCUAAUCUGCCCUACACUAGAGGACAACAGUUGGAAACGGCUGCUAAUACUCUAUAGUGUAGGAUGAGGCUAUAUUGUAUCAGCUAGUUGGUGAGGUAAUGGCGCACCAAGGCUAUGACGCAUAACUGGUCUGAGAGGAUGAUCAGUCACACUGGAACUGAGACACGGUCCAGGCUCCUACGGGAAGCAGCAGUAGGGAAUAUUGCUCAAUGGGGGAGAACCAGAAGCGGCAACGGCGCGUGGAGGAUGACACUUUUCGGAGCGUAAACUCCUUUUGUUAGGGAAGCGGUACCUAACGAAUAAGCACCGGCUAACUCCGUGCCAGCAGCCGCGGUAAUUC